GACGAACGCUGGCGGCGUGCCUAAUACAUGAAAGUCGAGCGAAGCGGCGGAUGGGUGAGUAACGCGUGGGUAACCUGACCUUAAGACUGGGAUACCAUUUGGAAACAGAUGCUAAUACCGGAUACUAAAGGAUGGACCUGCGAUGCAUUAGAGAGUUGGUAAGGUAACGGCUUACAAAGGCGAUGAUGCAUAGCCGGGUUGAGAGAUUGAUCGGCCACAUUGGGCCUGAGACACGGCCCAAACUCCUACGGGAGGCAGCAGUAGGGAAGCUUCCAAAAUGGACGAAAGUCUGAUGGAGCGACGCCGCGUGAGUGAAGAAGGUUUUCGGAUCGUAAAGCUCUGUUGUUGGUGAAGCGGUAAUCAUCCAGAAAGUCACGGCUAACUACGUGCCAGCAGCCGCGGUAAUUC
rnacentral:rRNA from 1 species